GUCAGGAUGGCCGAGUGGUCUAAGGUGCCCGACUCAAGAUUGUGGGCGUGGGUUCGAAUCCUACUCCUGACA